AGACAUUAGGCACAACUCUGAUAGUGCAAGACCCUGCAUACAGACUGCUCUUUUUAUUAAUAAAUACCAACAAGAUGAUGUAUGACAGGUUUGUAAUGAUUCUCUUUUUAUAAGAUUUACAGUUUUUUGAAAUGAGAUUUACUGCUGGCCAGCAGGGUCAGGAGCUGAAUUACAUGGGGGUCAUGGUAACAUAAAUGGCAGUUUAAGCAAGACAUGUCAGCAAAAUGAUAAAAAACCCUAACAAACCCAGUUGUGAAUUCUACACAGCACUAAGAAGAAAACUGGAACCUGUUUGAAAAUCUUUCUACACCUUACCACAAUCAUUCCACUGAAGAGAAUCUCUUACAUGCACCCUCCCUGAUCAUAUCAAGAUUAUUCUUUCAACAUAACUCCUGCUAACGAAUAGAAAGUAAGUAAAUCUACCAUUUAGCCUCUAUUCAAGUAAACACGGUUGUAUAGUCAGCAUUUCCCCCCCCCCCCUCCCGCCCGCAACGCUACUUUCUCAAGCAGGGUGACUGUCCCCUGCUCCUCCAUGAAGCAAGCUCAGCCCCGGCAGCCAUGUCCUUAUUCUCCUACAAACAAUGUUUCUGAAGGAGAACAACCCCCGCUCAGCGAACUUAAAGAGUUUCCCCCGGCAUAACGCGGCGAAGCAAAGCCUGCCCCACCGGCAGCAAACGAGCUAAGGCACCAACCGCAGCAGUGGGGGCGAAGCAGCCCGCAGUCUGGAUCUGCACCAGCGCCGAGCCUCGCACCGGGGUCGGGACAGAUGGACUGACAGAUAGGACAGCAUUUGCCCGUGCAACCCUCUCUUCUUUCCCCUCCCAGCCACACAAGCGAGUGUUUUACCUUCAUGAUGAGCUCAAGCUGCGGUAAAAGCCUCGACAGGGGCUGAGCGGCCGAGGCUGGACCUGGAAUUUAAAACAAAGCGCUAAGGCACCGCACCAGCCGCUCGCACCGGGCGGGGGGAGGGGAGGCAGGGACCGGGGUGGGGGCGCUGGGCUCCUCCCGAAACUCCCCUUUUCCUUCCCCGGAUCCCCCCUUUCUCUCCGGUUAACCCCCUCCCCUCGUUCCUCGGCCGCUGCUUCCCCUCCAGCUCCCACACACCGCGGCUUCCCCUACACUCGCUGCCAUUGACGCCAUUUCUGUCAGAGGAGGAGAAACUUGCCACAACAACAACCCACCCCCAGCCGCCCCGGCUGCCGCGGGGGGAGGGCGCGGUGGCAAGAGGCGUCCCCGGCUGUCUCCCCGGGGCGCUGCGGCCCCUCCCCAGGCACCCAGCGGCAGGAGGGGACCCGCGGGGGUCCGAACCCUGGGGACCCCCCCUCCCCACUUUACCGCGGGAGCCGGAGAAAGGAAGGGAGGCUCUUCCUCCAUUGUACGAGGAAGAGUGCCUGUGUGGUGCGCGGCGGGGGAGCGGGGUGUCGGUAACACCCCCCUCUCCUCCCCCCCCGACACACACACACGCUUUUGUAGGGGCUGCGGCUCCGGAUCGCGACGGCUCCUCCUCCCCCCCCCCCCCAAAUAAAGGAAAGCGCUGACUCCGCGGCAGGAGUUUCAGCAGCAACAGCCGCAACUCCCCGGCUCGGCGCAGCGGGUCCGGGCGGGGGGAGGGCGUGCGAGAGGCGGCGGAGGGGAAGAAAAGGAAGAAAAGAAGCAAGCGGGGACGGGGAAGGAGAGGGGCGGGGAGAAAGGGGCCCGACCUGCUCGGCGGGGACACGGAGCGUGUGUGUCUGCGUGUGUGUGUGGAGGAGGGGGCUCCGUCCUCUCCCGGCGGAGAGGACGGGAGAAGCCGCCGGCCCCUCCCGCACGCAGGCGGCAGCCGAUCCCCCUCCCCCCCGCCCCGCCGCUGGGUGUUUGCGGGGGGAGAAGGAGGAUCGGCGAGUCCCGCCGCAGUCUCGCUACGAGGAGAAAAACAACCGUCCCCCUCCCCCCCGCGCGCACGCCCCGCCGCCGCCGCCUGGCCCCGCGUCCCCCCGCCCCGGAGCCCCGCGCUGCCUCCCCGCCCGCCGCCGGUGGGGCCGGGGGAGCUCCUUCUCCGGCUCCGCGCCGUUACCUUUGUUCCGCGGCGCCCGCCCGCCCGCUACUCCCCCGACCCGGGGCGGGGGGGGGAGAGAAGGGGACGGGGCGAAGCCUCCUCUCAGCUCCGGGCCCCCUCGGCCCCUGCUCAGCGCUCCGGCAACGGCUCUGCUCGCGGCGGCUCCGCGCGGCGGGGCCGAUCCGUCCUGCGCGGACCCGGCGGUGGCGGCGGUGACUGCUCGGCUCGGAGCCUCUCGGUCCCCCUCCCCCUCCCACACC
ensembl:lncRNA